CCUACGGGUGACUGCAGUCGAGAAUCAUUCACAAUGGGGGAAACCCUGAUGGUGCGACGCCGCGUGGGGGAAUGAAGGUCUUCGGAUUGUAAACCCCUGUCAUGUGGGAGCAAAUUAAAAAGAUAGUACCACAAGAGGAAGAGACGGCUAACUCGGUGCCAGCAGCCGCGGUAAUACAGAGGUCUCAAGCGUUGUUCGGAAUCACUGGGCGUAAAGCGUGCGUAGGCUGUUUCGUAAGUCGUGUGUGAAAGGCGCGGGCUCAACCCGCGGACGGCACAUGAUACUGCGAGACUAGAGUGAUGGAGGGGGAACCGGAAUGCUCGGUGUAGCAGUGAAAUGCGUAGAUAUCGAGAGGAACACUCGUGGCGAAGGCGGGUUCCUGGACAUUAACUGACGCUGAGGCACGAAGGCCAGGGGAGCGAAAGGGAUUAGAUACCCUUGUAGUC
rnacentral:rRNA from 1 species